AUCAAUCAAAAUAUACGCAAACGUGUGAUCCUCGCAUAAUCUUGAAGAUUUGUCCUACAUCCUUUAUGCCGGCUAAAAUCAUAUCUCAUUUUAAACUAUACUUUCUUCACCAUAUUUUGAUCCAAUAAACCACACAGAGUACAUGAUUAAGAGAGGCACCUGUUGACUAUUUAAAAUAUGUGAAACCUUUUCACAUAAAAUGGUAGAACUAAGAACAACCUCACAGAUGUAAUAUGACUCUGACCUGGGGCCCCAUUGCAACCAUCUCCUUGAGGCCUGCUACUGGAGGCAGCUGCUAAGCAGUCCAUUGUGUGUUCGACUCCAUACCACUCCCUUAUUACAGGCCAACUCCCAACACUUCCGGAGAGCAAUAAUGUUCCAAUCAUCUACUGCCAUCUUCUGGCUGUAUUGAAAACCAGUGUCAUGUUUAUUGAUUAUUGGAAAAAUACGUCCCAGGAGACUGGCGAUCUUGUAUGAA
rnacentral:lncRNA from 1 species